rnacentral:lncRNA from 1 species
AGGAGAGGGAAUGAAGUGCAGAGCCAUCAACCUCAGGAUGGUUUAUCUCUAAAUCUAUUCAUGGGUAGAAGUUUUGAGAAAAGCUGAAUCACUCAGCCUAAAGAAAGCCCGAGGAAGUAUAAAGAAGUCCUGGAAAUCCCCUGGAAAAAAGUGCCAGUCUUCCCUCAUCCACUUGCCAAAGCAGUUCUUCUACAACACAAGUCUGAUCACAUCUCCCCUCUGCCGAGGCCUCCCACCAGCUGCCUAUUGUUCACACCAGGUUCUGGAAGAUGUUUUGGUGAACCCACG